GACGAACGCUGGCGGCGUGCUUAACACAUGCAAGUCGAACGGAAAGGCCCUGCUUUUGUGGGGUGCUCGAGUGGCGAACGGGUGAGUAACACGUGAGUAACCUGCCCUUGACUUUGGGAUAACUUCAGGAAACUGGGGCUAAUACCGGAUAGGAGCUCCUGCUGCAUGGUGGGGGUUGGAAAGUUUCGGCGGUUGGGGAUGGACUCGCGGCUUAUCAGCUUGUUGGUGGGGUAGUGGCUUACCAAGGCUUUGACGGGUAGCCGGCCUGAGAGGGUGACCGGCAAAAUGGGGACUGGGAUACGGCCAAGAUUCCUACGGGAGGCAGAAGGGGGGAAUAUUGAACAAUGGGCGGAGGCCGGUGGCAGCAACGCGGGGGGCGGGAGGCCGGCCUUCGGUUGUAAACCCGCUUUGGCCUGGGAGGAGGCGUGAGUGACGGUAAUGGGUAAAGAAGCACCGGCUAACUACGUG
rnacentral:rRNA from 1 species